rnacentral:rRNA from 1 species
CCUACGGGAGGCUGCAGUGAGGAAUAUUGGUCAAUGGACGAGAGUCUGAACCAGCCAAGUAGCGUGAAGGAUGACUGCCCUAUGGGUUGUAAACUUCUUUUAUAUGGGAAUAAAAUGUUCCACGUGUGGGAUUUUGUAUGUACCAUAUGAAUAAGGAUCGGCUAACUCCGUGCCAGCAGCCGCGGUAAUACGGAGGAUCCGAGCGUUAUCCGGAUUUAUUGGGUUUAAAGGGAGCGUAGGUGGAUUGUUAAGUCAGUUGUGAAAGUUUGCGGCUCAACCAUAAAAUUGCAGUUGAAACUGGCAGUCUUGAGUACAGUAGAGGUGGGCGGAAUUCGUGGUGUAGCGGUGAAAUGCUUAGAUAUCACGAAGAACUCCGAUUGCGAAGGCAGUUCACUGGACUGCAACUGACACUGAGGCUCGAAAGUGUGGGUAUCAAACAGGAUUAGAUACCCUAGUAGUC